UAGUCUGAAGGUUCAGGUCAAUAAAUGAAUAUAUUUUGAUGCCAAGUUUCAGUAGGCUGCACUGGUAGCUGUAUACUUACAUGUGCUUUUCGUUUCAAUUAAAACAACAUUUCUUUCAUCUGUGAUGUGAGAUCAAAUAUAAAAAACAUGUGACUAUGUUU